UACAGAGGUCUCAAGCGUUGUUCGGAUUCAUUGGGCGUAAAGGGUGCGUAGGUGGCGCCGUAAGUCGGGUGUGAAAUUUCGGAGCUUAACUCCGAAACUGCAUUCGAUACUGCGGUGCUUGAGGACUGGAGAGGAGACUGGAAUUCAUGGUGUAGCAGUGAAAUGCGUAGAGAUCGUAAGGAAGACCAGUGGCGAAGGCGGGUCUCUGGACAGUUCCUGACGCUGAGGCACGAAGGCCAGGGGAGCAAACGGG
rnacentral:rRNA from 1 species